CGAUCUUGACCUCUUAAUUCGGUCCUCCAUGUUGCCCCAGACAGCUCCUAGCUGGCAAAUACCAACCAAAUGCUGCGUGAGGCGAAUGCUGGGUUCGGCUUGCCCUAAAAGCAAUUGCUCUUCACUAAGGUCCUGCUGUGGGAGCAAAGCCAACGUUCUUAACUUUGUGGUCUCCCUAGGGGAGGUGACCCAGGCAGCUCAAAUCGACACUGUGCUGGGGGUUCAGGAGUCCCUCCAGCCGCUUUCAUUGACCACCGGGAAUAGUGGGAGUCUGUGGGACUAAUGACUAGACCGCAAGUCUCUCAGGAGAGAGGAUGUCUGCAUCCUACUCUUCGCUUCCCUACACACACUCAGAGGAGCGAGGAGCCGCGGAGUGUGGAGAUGUGGUGUCACCCCGUAAUCCUGGGAGUGCAUCAUCAGGCGACCCUCGGGGGGACUGAGGGAGCGGCGUCGAGGAGGAUCCAGGCUCCUGGAUGGACUACCCACAAUGAGCUAAAUAUUCAAAAGCGUAGGCUCAUUUAAUCCUGACCCAUCCGCAGCUCUCCCCUGUGAACAAAGAAGGAGUCCAUCGGAAAGUACUUGUGCAGCGGAAACAAUAGACCAAAGGGACAGACUCUCUGGGGGAUACUCAAAUGAUGCUCAAUGUACUGAUUACUGAACCACUGAGAUGCUCUGAAGUCUCCUGGGCGACACGCUCACAAAGGCAUUGAUCAAUCACGUCAUUAUCAGGUAAUAGGUGUCUCACAUCUGGUUGAGAUUGUAGUGCUAGAUGCUAGAUUGAAAAUAACAAGCACUCCAUGGUUAUUUGAUGGGGGCAUUCAAAUGUAAGUGCUCCACAACAACUGAUGUAAUUGUGCUGGAGAUAUUUUUUUUCUCCUGUAUGUGACAGCAUAGACGCAAAUUCUUGCAAUGGCUCGUUUUUUUUUCAGUCUCUCAUCAAGUGUAUGUCAUUAUGUUUCAAUGAUGUCCCCUCUUACAUCUCUCAAUGUACCCUGCUGUUUAGAUGGGAAAUCUAUCUUCUAUGCUUGUAUCUAUGCUCUAUAUUUGCAUUGCAUUUUUUUCUAACCUACAGCAGCAAAUAUGUAUUUACUGUCAAAAUGCAGAUUGUAUUACACAAAUCGU